UACGUAGGGUGCAAGCGUUGUCCGGAAUUAUUGGGCGUAAAGGGCGCGUAGGCGGCCUUGUAAGUCAAAGGUGAAAUCCCUCGGCUCAACUGAGGAACUGCCUUUGAAACUGCAAGGCUUGAGGCCGGGAGGGGGUAGCGGAAUUCCCAAUGUAGCGGUGAAAUGCGUAGAUAUUGGGAGGAACACCAGUGGCGAAGGCGGCUACCUGGACCGGUUCUGACGCUGAGGCGCGAAAGCGUGGGUAGCAAACAGG
rnacentral:rRNA from 1 species